GCACACGGGUGACAUCACGGAGCUCGGCCGCGGGGCGAUCCGCGGUGGGAGCCGCGCCGGGUCCUCCUCGGCGUGCGGGUCCCGGCGGGGCCGAGGGAGCCGCGGUGCUGCGGGUCCGCAUCGCGGCCGGCAGCGGCGUGCGGGGGCAGGAGGCUGCCCGUGCGCUGGCACUGCCGUGUGAGCGUGAGGCGGUGUUUCAAAAUGGCAAUCUGUGCCUCUCGCAGGCUGCCCGACUCAAACACCCUUCAACAGUGAUUGCAGACCGGGGCUCUGGUGCUGGAAGAGGCUCUAUUGGUUGUAGCGUCUCUCAACCGGAUUUACAUCACAUGACUCUGUAAGUCUGCAUACUUGGUCAUACUGAUGUGGACACAGACCCAUCCAGAGAGGCUGAAAUGCAACUUUUUUUUUUUUUCAGUAAAAAAAUUGAAGACAAAAGGCAAAUAAACACGACUUGACUUACUAGACAGCUUGUAAAGUGAAGUUUUUGAAUUUAAUACUAGAUCACCUGUGAUGAGUAUUUAGUAUAGGUUAUUAAAGUCUCUGUUAUCCAUCAUUGCUGGUAAACUAUUUUACUGUUAAAUGGAGCAGCAAAAAUGGAAACACAGUUUUAAUAAUAUGAAGUUAUUUUUUUUAAAAAAAGAGAUAUUUGGAUUAAAACUGUUCUAACAAGCCAUAUUUUCAAAUUUUGGGGGUUUUUUUUGUGGUAUAUGAGGUAGUAUGAGUUAAUGUCUAUUUAUGCUUCCGAGUUGUUUGCUCCACCCAAAGAAAGCUGCUGAUAUAAAUGCUUCUUAGAGGCGAGGUUCAUUUGGUUUUACUCAUGGGAAAUAUGACAAAUACAUGGCUAUGGUAAUUGCGGCACAAGUUUUGACCUGUCUCCUGCUCCUGACUUUUUCCCUGUGUCAGAAAGUUACGGAGAAUCUUCAGUUACAUCAUUUUCUUCAGUCAUAAAACUUUUCUUUCUUCCAGAAAAUAACCCAAAAUACCCCACCACUUGAGCAAGUUCCCAUCCGGUCAUUUGGGGAGGCUUUUCUUUUUCCCUUUUUUUUUUUUUUGUUUAAUUUGGUAGCUCAUUUUCACCUCAAGUAUCAAGGUCAGCUGGAUGUGGGAUUGAUGUGGUCUGUUUUAUCUGUGUACAGCUGUGUUUACCCCUCUUGAAAGGAAGCUGGAAUUCUAAAAUUCCUAAUGAAGACUUGCGCAGUGGCUUUGGAAAAUGCAUACCUCACUCGUAUUUUACACGUAUUGUACAUUUGCUCAGUUAAAAUGGUAAAUAUAUUGAUAAAAUUACAUAUUUUUUGAUGUUUGAUGGAGGUGGGUUUUUUAAUCAGCACUUGAUGCAAAGCCAUCUGCUGUCCAGUUGGACUACUGAACAGAUUAUACUGCCAGUGCCUGUGGUGGGGCCACUGCCGGAUUAGGCAGUAUGACACAGGGCACUGGGUUAUGAGAUUUGGGAGUAUGUGUAUUGUGGGAUGGCAAGGGAGAAAAGGAGAGGGAGAGGCUUAACAUGCACAUAAUAUAAAAUGUAUGUGUUUAAUGUAAUUCAGCAUUUUAUAAAAAAGACAGACCAGAACAAAGAACCUGGCCCUGAAGUGAAUGUUAAAAUACUUCACAAGUGGCUACAUAUUGUAACUUAUCUAGUAGCGUUUAACUGAAUCACUUCAGCCUCUUUGAAAUUGGGUAGCUUGGAAUUUAGAGCACUUUCUCUUUUUUUCUGUGGGUAAGGCUAUGUGCUCCCUAGUAGGAAAAAUUACUGUGUGCUGUCACUCACUCUGCAUUGUGCCAUUGAGGUGGAACAGGUUUGUCUGACUAUUCUGAGUGCUGGCACUAACAAUUUGUAGUAAUUGUAAUAGCAGACAGAACGAUGUUCUCAGCCUUAUGGUUUAUAUUCUUUGCUGACUUAAGGAGGAAAGUAAUUUACCACCCCAAAUAUUGCUGUAUUCAAGCUAUAGCUGUAUUUUUUUUUUGUUUAAAAAUAUAGGAAUUUUGUCUCUUUUACUCAAUCUGAGAAUUAUUCUGGUAAAAUUCCAGUCAUGCUGAUUUUUUGAAGGGAGUUUUCCUUCAAUGUCUUUAAAGAUUC